GUGUCAGCCGCCGCGGUAAUACGUAGGGGGCAAGCGUUAUCCGGAAUUACUGGGUGUAAAGGGAGAGUAGGCGGUAUGGUAAGUUAGAUGUGAAAGCCUGAGGCUUAACCACAGGAUUGCAUUUAAAACUAUCAAACUAGAGUACAGGAGAGGGAAGCGGAAUUCCUAGUGUAGCGGUGAAAUGCGUAGAUAUUAGGAAGAACACCAGUGGGGAGGGCGGCUUUCUGGACUGAAGCUGACGCUGAGGCUCGAAAGCGUGGGGAGAGAACAGGAUUAGAUACCCUGGUAGUCCACGCCGUAAACGAUGAGUGCUAGGUGUCGGGGGGGAACCCUCGGUGCCGCAGCAAACGCAAUAAGCACUCCACCUGGGGAGUACGAUCGCAAGAUUGAAACUUAAAUGAAUUGGCGG
rnacentral:rRNA from 1 species